rnacentral:rRNA from 1 species
AUUGAACGCUGGCGGCAUGCCUUACACAUGCAAGUCGAACGGCAGCACGGGGGCGAACCCUGGUGGCGAGUGGCGAACGGGUGAGUAAUACAUCGGAACGUGCCCGGUAGUGGGGAUAGCUCGGCGAAAGCCGGAUUAAUACCGCAUACGACCUGCGGGUGAAAGCGGGGGAUCGCAAGACCUCGCGCUAUCGGAGCGGCCGAUGUCAGAUUAGGUUGUUGGUGGGGUAAAGGCCACCAAGCCGACGAUCUGUAGCUGGUCUGAGAGGACGACCAGCCACACUGGGACUGAGACACGGCCCAGACUCCUACGGGAGGCAGCAGUGGGGAAUUUUGGACAAUGGGCGCAAGCCUGAUCCAGCCAUGCCGCGUGCGGGAAGAAGGCC